ACUCUCUUCGGCCCAGCCGGCGGGUUUCUCUAGCUUUUCGUCAAGACCGCAUGCCCUAGAGACUGUCGGAGUUUUUGUACUGCCUUCUGGAACUCGUAGUCCUUUAAGGACGCGAAGGGGGCUUAUGCCGCGGGCAGGUUACCGGGGGUGGACUGCAUUUCCCAGGGUGCAUGAAGAAACCGAGGCGCUGAGGAGGGCGGGAGGACUGUUUCCAUAGCAAAGGCGGCUGGUUGGGGCCGGCUGACUGAGAAAUGGGGCAGGCCGCGGGACCCUCGGAUUGUGCGUGACUACCGGCAGCCUCUUGGGAGGCCGUUUCGAUUUUUUUUUUUUUUUUUUUUGUCCUCGGCACCCUCCACGGGACUCUGGGCCUCAGUUUUCCUACCUGAGAAGAAGGGUGUGGAGCCGUCCCCCUGCCCACAGUCCGCGGUGAUGGGGCAAACCGAGGUCGAGCCGCUCUGGUUUGCCCAGCAAAGGUUCUACAGGUACUGAGGUGGCAGCUCAUCCCUGUGGUUCCCGUGUGGCCCCAGUUCUGCCCUCUGAAGCUCAGAGCCCACAUACCAGAUGUUACGGAACCUCUUUACCUUGGCUGCCCCUCUCUGCAAAUAUGUGGCCAGACUAGAAUGUUCAAGCCCGGACAAAGAAACUGAGGCCUAUAGAGGUUCUAAGACUAGCCCAAGGUCACACAGCCAGUAAGUGGGAGAGAUGGGCCAGCCAUCCACUGUCAGAGCCUGAGUACUGCCCUUCCUACUGCCCAUUCUACUGUGGAACAUCUCUGGCUAUUGAAACGUUUUCUCUCACAUGGAGCUAAAAAUCUCCUUCUCACUAAAGCCACACCAUCAUUGAUCUUUCUUGACCAACUCCCAUCAACUAGAGUUAAGAAAGCCUUGUCGGGCACAACCAGCUACUUUGAUAGUUUGGCAGACUGCAGGAUGAACCUUCAGGACUGAGUCUCCUUUGGAUUUGCCCAGCUAGUGACUACAGCUGAAGCCCUGAGACAUGUACUCCUUGGGACCAGGAAAGGUGAGAAGGGCAUCCUGAAAAUCCUUCCUGAAGAUGAUAAGACUUGGCAUCAUUUCGAGAGGCUUAUUUGUCAUUGAUACUGCCCCAGGAGCUGGGGGAAUUGAGUGGCACCUGAGGAUAAUGAACUAAGGACACCUCUGGCUCAGAACUUGAGAAAAUCCCUCUGGACCCAAAGAGGCCACAAGCCCACAGAUUAAAGCCCAAAUUCUACAGAAAUGAAUUUUUGUCAUCUGUAUCAGAAACUGGCCACCUCAGCCCUGGAGUUCUUCAUUUGUGUCCCCAAGCCAGCUCAUCUAUUUUAUGCCAGGGCACAUCAUAUAUCUCUGGAUAGUCCCAUCCGGGUUCAACCACUGGGGCCAAAAAGGUAGGGCACCAAGGUAGCCAACUGUCCCUUCUGCCAGUGGACAGGGUGAUGCAGACACCACUAUUAGACUGUCUGCUACGGUCCCGGAUUCAUUUUUUUUUAUUGUUUACUCAUGCUCGUGUUUCAGUUUUUGGCCUUUAUUAUUGUUGUCUUGAGGUCUUUUCAGGGUCCUUAAAAAUUCCUCAGGCGCCCAGCCUGGUUUAUUGCAGUGGCUCCUACCCAGAUGCCUGGCAUGGGGAGGAUCAUUCAUAAACAGGAAGUCACUUCUUCCUCCCACUUAAGUCUUACCUGUCAUCAAAAAAGGGAGGGGAGACCAUACUUAAUAAACACCACCCAUUAGAUUAGAUCGACGGUCCCCAAAUAUUGCAUUUCUUCCAGAAACAGUAUCUUUUGCCCUCACAGAAGAGCAUGUGGUCAAGAGGAAAUUGAAUAAAGUCCUUUAAUCAGCCACA